CAGAGCCCCAGCAUGCUGAGUGAACACAGUAGUCACAGACCUUAACCCACCUAGAGUCAAUCUACCUCGAAGAUCAGUUCUGAGUAUCUCCUAGAACACAUUUCUAACUGGAAGAUCCGAGGAGCAUAGCAGCUACAUUAAAAGAAAGAAGACUCUGGUGUGCUUUCCAUAAUUGUAUAUAUAAAAUGCCUGCUCCCAUUAUUUUCCUUGUCAUCCACCUUGUUCACUCUACAAUUCUAAGUUCCAUUGCUCCCAUGGUGGAGAAGUGGUGUUUCAGUGCAAUCGUUAGGAUAUUGCUCACCAUUUAACCAACAAAGCCCAAAACACAGUGGCUUAGUACAAUGGAAGUUUAUUUCUUUCUUAUGAAAAGUAUAAAACUGUCAUUUCAAAGUAGUGUAAAGUUCUCCAUUAAAGGAUACCCAUAACAUCUGGUGGCUCCACUACUUUCCACAUAAGGUUUGUGAGGUUGUGCAGUGGUCCUGCAUCAGGAUGCAGCAGGAGAAAGAGCUGAGACAGGAGGAGAUGAGCCAGUUGAUGGGGUGGCUUCAAAGGCAGCAUCUAUCAUCCCACUGAAUUCCAUUGGUCAGAACUCACUGCAGGUCUGAGAACUGUAGUUCCUAUAUGUAUUCAGCUAUGAAUUGAAGUGGGAUGGGCAUUUUUCCACAAUGGUUAGGAUAAUUUUCACCGCAAAUACUUUUCUACAUUUUUAUAAAGUUGACCGGCACCUGUGUUAUUAGCCAUAACAAAUGGCCAUCAAUUUUCCCCAGUUUGAUAAUCAGCACAGCUAGACUCUGUAGAAAGAUCUCUUUGCUGUUAAGUGACCACAAAUGACUAAAUUCACAUUGAACUGCACCAGCAGGAGAGGGCUAGCCCUGAAUGUGUCAAAGUAGACACUCUCCAUAUACCUCAGGUUUUAUUAUCUGCCUGAAGUUAGCAUACUGGUUUCCCCAGGAAAGCCUUUAACCAUGAAUAAAUGAGAUCCUAUGGAGUUUACCAUACACAGCAGAAAUACUACCCUGACUCCAUAAUCACUGCACUGAAAAAAAAAAUUAAAUGCUCGUCUGUAUCUCCUUUAUCUGCACUUAUAUCCCCAAUAAGAUAAAGUCAAAAAAAUCACCCUUGAAAUGACCCAUUACCCAAGAGAAGAUAAAAGCAACAUAUGAAGUAAGAUCUAGAAUUAGGAUUGGACUAGGAACUUUGAAGUUUCCAAUAAAGGGGCUCAGUAUGUUGCAGAAUUGGAGUUGACAUUUUCUAAGAAAAUUGCAUAUAAACCUAAUCAAGGGAGAACCACAAAGUUAGUAAUCCACAAGAAAAGAGGUAAAACUUAGAAUAAUAUAUACUGGUGCCUAUGGAGGUCUCCACAGACGCAUCUCUAGAGAUGUAUAUCUUAUGUUUGAUAUAUGAAGCUAAGUUUAGCCAAUUUAGGUGCAUAAUAACCUACGCCAAACUAGAAUUCAUUCUAAUCAAACUUUUCCAAGAGAUUACGCCUUGAAUGAUGCUGGAGGCAGUGGAGAAGGAUGUAAACAGAACUGUCGGUAUCAUUAAGUGCCCUUGGUAUCCUGGGUAAAGUGCGUUCACUGAGUAGCCCAUGUCCCCACGUCAGCCUUGGCGCUGAGGUGGCAAACGUGUCCCCAGAUCACAAUCUUGUCAGAGCUUCCUCGCAUUCCUCUAGCAGAGGUGUGAGUGAGAGGCAGAGCCUCUAAGAGAACUGAGACCCACCCAGGGACUGGAAAACGUCACAUCCUUUUUUCUAACAAGCCAGAAUAGCCCCUGACCACUGUCUUUGCAUGUGUGAAAAAAUAUUUUGGUACACUACACAUAAAAAGUUGAAAAGUUUCCUGAACGCACUGUACCAAUGUUCUUGUCUCUCACCCUGUGCUUUUGGGACAAGUGAGAGGAAGAGUCAGUAGGGUUACAAGGAAGCCUCUUCUCUUCCUGCUACCAUGCCUGGACUCACAGAUCUCCCCCAUUUCCAAACCAGCCCCCAAAUAAUCUAGAUUUUAAAUAAAAAUAUUAAGUCGGCUCUGUAGCUGUCUGACCGAGGUAAAAUUUCUCCAGGGUGAUUCAAGAGCUCCUCUAUCAUUCCCUGAGCCUCCACCCUGACAGCGCCUUUUGUGACAAUGGCACACCUCUGCCUCAAGUUUUCAGGCGAGUCAUGUGUGAUCUUUAUCUGAGCCAGAAGACCUGGUACCUGGGCCGACUCUGGGAUGGUUGUAGAGACGCACAGCCAGUGCAGGGCUCCCGAGCCUCAGGCCUGUAUCAAACUUUCUUCUCCUGUCCUGGCCCCAACCCAGCAGGAGUCCACAUGCCCUGGACUGCUUGUGCUGUAGGGAUCAUUUUGAGCUUCAUUUCUACAAGCUGGCUUCUUCGCAUGAGGAUGCGAGGCUUCCUUCCUUUUGCCUCCCUUCCUUCCCUCAAUCUAAGACUGGAAUCUCUACGUUAAAUCCCAGCGACACCCCCAGCUUCUUGAAGGAGAGACGUUAUUGAAGGAGAUUUCCUUCCUGGAUCAUGAAAAGCUGUCCUUUGGACCCUCCUCUGCGGGUCUGGGGACUCUGGCUGCCUCAUACUCACCCCGUUCAGUGUCCUGAGUUCUGCCUGCUUGACUGAACACCCCUGGCUCUCUCAACCUGAUCUAGUCCCUUUUCCUGCACACUUUCUCUUGUUGGAAAUAACAAGAAAAUACUAAUUAUAAGACAAAUUCAAGGUAUAAUUAUUAAACAUUUGAAUGAACAUAAAUUAAUUGUGAAAUUUUGUCAGUUUCAAAAAAAAAACAUAAUAACACAGAAAACUAAGACCGUGUUUCUAGAAGUAAAAAGCUCUCAGAGUAGAAAUGAAUAAAGAAAUGAGAUUUUUCUAAUCAUUUUUUUCCUAUCAGCAGGAAUAAGUACUCAUAUAGGCCCUAUCAAGAGCUACCUGGCUUUCUCCAAAACACACUCUGCUGUCCUUGGUGCAUUUCAUAGCUAUGUCCCUGGACCAGCAGUCCGAAUUCUCUGUCUGGCAGUAAUCCUGGCAUUCUGCUAGUGGAGGCAGGUGCAAUUUAGAACAUUGUCAUCAUGAUAAAUACUAAACAUACCACUUAAGAAGAAGAUUUUUUAGAAUUCUUUGUUUUUGUGACCUUUUAGUUACAGCAAGAGGCAAAUUAUGGCUGGGUGUGGUGGUGCGUGCCUGUAGUCCCAGCUACUCCAGAGGCUGAGGCAGGAGGAUCGCUUGAGUGGGGGAGGUUGAGGUUGAAAUAAGCCAUGAUCACACCACGGCACUCAGCAUGGGUGGCAAAUCUGGAGACCUUGUCUAGAAAACAAAAGAAAAGGAGUCAAAUUAGAUGAAAUGUCUGAUGUAUUUAAUAUACCCUAGAUUAUUUUUGUAGGUUCUUACUUUUGUAGGUCCUUUAACUGCCACUGUGAAUUAGAACGAAGAUGCACAUCUAUUUUCCUAUAGAAUAAAUGGAAUUAGUGCCUGCAAAAGAAUGAUGUAGAGAUGACAUUUUGGUCCUUCCUAAUAAAUAAUUGUCCAAGUGGAACUUAGACUUUGACCAAUCAAAUAAUAAAAGGGACAAUUGCCUAAUUCAUCUGCGUAGGCAUUAUGGAAUUGUUGUGGAACAGACAUUGUCUGUCUGUGUGAAGCCUCCUGCUCACUCGUUGAAAUACUUCUAUAAAAGCGAUAUGCGGCUGGGCACGGUGGCUCAUGCCUGCAAUCCCAGCACUUUGGGAGGCUGAGGCGAGCAGAUCAUGAGUUCAAGAGAUCGAGACCAUCCUGGCCAACAUGAUGAAAUCCCAUCUCUACUAAAAAAUACAAAAAUUAACCAGGCGUGGUGGCACACGCCUGUAGUCCCAGUUACUCAGGAGGCUGAGGCAGGAGAAGUGCUUGAACCCAGGUGGCGGAGGCUUCAGUGAGCUGAGAUCUCGCCACUGCACUCAAGCCUAGGUGACAGAGCGAGACUCUGUCUCAAAAAAGAAAAAAAAAAGCAAUAUGCUCAGGAAAUCUGACAAAGACCAACACUCUUCAAAGAGUCCCUG
rnacentral:lncRNA from 10 species